rfam:Triticum aestivum genome assembly, contig: Triticum_aestivum_CS42_TGACv1_scaffold_643438_T_3DS-0.296380_2DL-0.257243
AUAAUGUUACCCUCUGAUCCAUAUUACUUAUCUUAGAUUUGUCUAGAUACGGAUGUAUGUAGACACGUUUUAGUGUUUGAUACAUCCGUAUCUAGAGAAAUCUAAGACAAGUAAUAUGGAUCGGAGGGAGUAGUAA